UCAGACCCGGGCAGAAGUUAAAAAGCCGGGUCGAAAACGCUUCGCCCAAAGACGAGUAAUCUGAUCUAACUAAAAAGGCCGCUCUGCGGCCUUUUUUCUUUUCACUGUCGAAGAGUCACCGUAAAAUCAACGCCAUGACACUUCAGCAGAACGGAUACC
rfam:Escherichia coli str. K-12 substr. MG1655, complete genome.